rnacentral:rRNA from 1 species
ACACAACCCUGAACGGUGGAUCACUUGGCUCGUGGGUCGAUGAAGAACGCAGCUAGCUGCGUGACUAUAUGUGAACUGCAGGACACAUGAACAUCGUCGUUUCGAACGCACAUUGCGACUCAGGAUCCUUUUCCUGGGUCACACCUGUCUGAGGGUCGGCUU